rnacentral:rRNA from 1 species
GUGUCAGCCGCCGCGGUAAUACGGAGGAUGCAAGCGUUAUCCGGAUUUAUUGGGUUUAAAGGGUGCGUAGGCGGGAUCAUAAGUCAGUGGUGAAACCCUGCAGCUUAACUGUAGACUUGCCAUUGAUACUGUGGUUCUUGAGUGUGGUCAAGGGAGGCGGAAUGUGUAAUGUAGCGGUGAAAUGCUUAGAUAUUACACAGAACACCAAUUGCGAAGGCAGCUUUCUGGGCCAUUACUGACGCUGAUGCACGAAAGCGUGGGGAGCGAACAGGAUUAGAUACCCUGGUAGUCCACGCCGUAAACGAUGAUCACUAGCUGUUGGCGAUAUACUGUCAGCGGCAAAGCAAAAGCAUUAAGUGAUCCACCUGGGGAGUACGGCCGCAAGGCUGAAACUCAAAGGAAUUGACGGGG